CGCCAGACUCCUACGGGAGGCAGCAGUGGGGAAUAUUGCACAAUGGGGGAAACCCUGAUGCAGCGACGCCGCGUGAGUGAAGAAGUAUUUCGGUAUGUAAAGCUCUAUCAGCAGGGAAGAAAAUGACGGUACCUGACCAAGAAGCCCCGGCUAACUACGUGCCAGCAGCCGCGGUAAUACGUAGGGGGCAAGCGUUAUCCGGAUUUACUGGGUGUAAAGGGAGCGUAGACGGUUGUGCAAGUCAGAAGUGAAAGCCCGGGGCUCAACUCCGGGACUGCUUUUGAAACUGUGAAACUGGAGUGCAGGAGAGGUAAGCGGAAUUCCUGGUGUAGCGGUGAAAUGCGUAGAUAUCAGGAGGAACACCAGUGGCGAAGGCGGCUUACUGGACUGUAACUGACGUUGAGGCUCGAAAGCGUGGGGAGCAAACAGGAUUAGAUACCCGUGUAA
rnacentral:rRNA from 1 species